AACGAACGCUGGCGGCAUGCCUAACACAUGCCAGUCGAACGAGGCCUUCGGGUCUAGUGGCGCACGGGUGCGUAACGCGUGGGAACCUGCCCUUAGGUUCGGAAUAACUCCCCGAAAGGGGUGCUAAUACCGGAUAAUGUCUUCGGACCAAAGAUUUAUCGCCUUUGGAUGGGCCCGCGUUGGAUUAGCUAGUUGGUAGGGUAAAAGCCUACCAAGGCGACGAUCCAUAGCUGGUCUGAGAGGAUGAUCAGCCACACUGGGACUGAGACACGGCCCAGACUCCUACGGGAGGCAGCAGUGGGGAAUAUUGGACAAUGGGCGAAAGCCUGAUCCAGCAAUGCCGCGUGAGUGAUGAAGGCCUUAGGGUUGUAAAGCUCUUUUACCCGGGAUGAUAAUGACAGUACCGGGAGAAUAAGCGCCGGCUAACUCCGUG
rnacentral:rRNA from 1 species